GGGGGUAUAGCUCAGUGGUAGAGUUCAUGCUUAGCAUGCAUGAGGUCCUGGGUUCAAUCCCCAGUACUUUCA
rnacentral:tRNA from 1 species